rnacentral:rRNA from 1 species
UCCGUAGGCGGUCAGAUAAGUCAGAGGUGAAAUCUCACAGCUCAACUGUGGAACUGCCUUUGAUACUGGUUGUCUUGAGUUACAGUGAAGUAGAUAGAAUAUGUAGUGUAGCGGUGAAAUGCAUAGAUAUUACAUAGAAUACCGAUUGCGAAGGCAGUCUACUAACUGUAUACUGACGCUAAUGGACGAAAGCGUGGGGAGCGAACAGGAUUAGAUACCCUGGUAGUCC